AACGGUCUAUACCUGCGGUACCUGCGGAAGGAUCAUUAUAGAGUGGUAAACCCUCCGUAAAAGGGGGGGACCUCCUGUCCUUUGUAGGCUCUUUUUUAAAGGGCUUUUUUAAUUUUCUGCUUCGGUGGGGUUAUCCCACCGGAACAACCUCAAAACUCUGAUCAAAAAAUCGUUCUGUCUGAGAACCUUUUAUAAUAAAAAAAACUUUCAACAACGGAUCUCUAGAUCGGAAGAGCACAC
rnacentral:misc_RNA from 1 species